ACUGUGUGGACACUGCCUCUUGUGUGCAUUACAUCCUUUCCCCUGCUCCUAAGUAGCUGCAUGGAUGCCUCAUGGGUUGGGAGAAGCAAGGAGGUGUAAGGGUUCUAUUGAAAACGGUACCUGGGCUGUGGAGGGUGCCACUGCUGGGGGGUGCAGGGGCUCACCUGGGAGAGUUUCACCUCCCUAUCCCCUCUCUGUUCUAUGCCAGGUGCUGUGUGUUCCUCACCUCCCAAAACAACGUCACCAGAAACUCAUUAGGGAACCCUCCUCCUGUGCGGCAACAGUCUGGCCGGAGGCCCAGUCGUGGGGCGGUGUCUGCCGUCGGGGUCCAGAUCCACGGCACGCAGAGUCCGGGAGGCCCGGGAGGAACCAGCUGGCAAAGGACUUGGGAAAGGCGGACCUUCUUCCCGGCAGGCCUGACUCCGGUCUCCGUGGCCAAAGCAGAUCCUGGAGGAUUCUGAGUUCUUUUGAAAGACAAGAUAGCCACAUGUUCCAGAACUGUAGACUCAGACACGCCUGGUGUGUGUGUGUGUGUUCACGUGCGUACAGACAUAUGUGUAAACACACAUAUUUAUCUUGGAAGAAUGUUCUCUAUAGCAGAAGCAGCCACUCCAAGAAAAGAAAAAAAUAAAGGAAAAAAUGAAAAAAAAAAAAAAAAAAACAAACAGGGAAGAAAAAGGAAACGAAGAUGAUGCCAUCUCCCUCUACAGAGCCUUCUGCAUGCCCAGAAACAGCGAGCCAUGGCCUCAUUUCUGGGGCCCUGGCUGACACCCAGGGUGGCUGAUGGAGCCACAGGAAAUUCCUGGGGUCAAGCCAAAAGGAGGGUCGCCCCACCGCUCUCGGGCUUUAGGCCACAUGCCCCAGGCCUUUAGCCCCAUAACCUCGAGGCGCUUCUGCAUGGAGGCAGUGCCCAGGGCAUGAGGGUUAGGCCUGCGGCAGGGAUGCAUCGGCACUGGGGACAGCGACACAGACCACAGACGCAGACGGUACGCACAUGGUUGGGCC
rnacentral:lncRNA from 1 species